rnacentral:rRNA from 1 species
AACGAACGCUGGCGGCAUGCCUAACACAUGCAAGUCGAACGAGACCUUCGGGUCUAUUGGCGCACGGGUGCGUAACGCGUGGGAACCUGCCCUUAGGUUCGGAAUAACUCCCCGAAAGGGGUGCUAAUACCGGAUAAUGUCUUCGGACCAAAGAUUUAUCGCCUUUGGAUGGGCCCGCGUUGGAUUAGCUAGUUGGUAGGGUAAAAGCCUACCAAGGCGACGAUCCAUAGCUGGUCUGAGAGGAUGAUCAGCCACACUGGGACUGAGACACGGCCCAGACUCCUACGGGAGGCAGCAGUGGGGAAUAUUAGACAAUGGGCGAAAGCCUGAUCCAGCAAUGCCGCGUGAGUGAUGAAGGCGUUAGGGUUGUAAAGCUCUUUUACCCGGGAUGAUAAUGACAGUACCGGGAGAAUAAGCUCCGGCUAACUCCGUG